rnacentral:lncRNA from 1 species
ACCCGGUACCUCAGAUGGAAAUGCAGAAAUCACCCGUCUUCUGCGUCGCUCACGCUGGGAGCUGUAGACCGGAGCUGUUCCUAUUCGGCCAUCUUGGCUCCUCCGAAUGUGAUUUUGAAGAAAGGAGGAAAGAUGUGAAAAGUGAUUGGUCAGCCACAUUCAUGGUGUUGAGAAAAGAAUUUGCUUUUCUGGAACAUAGCCUGUGAUAGCAGAACAACACCUGGCAAGAAACAGGUUAUGUUUGGCUGGAGAGUCAUUGGCACUAUCAAGAAAUAUUAAAGUGUAGAUUUGAGAGAGGAGGAGAAAGACCCAAGCAAAAUUGAAAACCAGGUGGGACCCAGACAGCAGCAAAGCAAUGGAAGCAUGUAUUUUGGUCAAUAUAGAGUUAAUACACAAUUUUGCCCCUCUUCUUCUGAUCAUGGGACUCAUAUUACCAGUCUUCACAUUUCCUUUAAAUUCAGGAAUCAGGAAGAAUUUCCAGAGUUUGCAGAUGGACACAUUUGCUGCUUCCAUUCUAAACAUAAGUUAGAAGAACCUUUCAACUGGAUUCCAACUUUAAUAUGUCACAAACAUAAAAAAGAAAGCUAUUUCCUGGACUUUUCUUCAUUAGAAAUUAAUAGAUUGUCAAUUGGCAUAGGGAAAAGAUAAUCAACAGAUGCCAACCCCAAGUUAACAGAAAUGCUAAAAUUAUAAGACAAAGACUUCAAAAUAGCUAUUUUAAUUUUGCCUAGUGAGGUAAAUGCAAACAUGCUCACUAUGAAUGAAAACAGGUAAUCUCAGCAGUCAUGUAAACUAUAAAAAUAAGCAAAUAUAAAUUUUAGAAUUAAAACACAAUAUCUAAAAAUAAAUUCACCUGAUAUUCUCAAUAGAAAAAAUGGUAAUGCAGAGAAAAAUGUAUGAAAAUAUGGCAAUUUGAAGAAGAGAGAAGAGAUCAAUAAAAUAAAUAAGUAUAUCCUUGGAGACCUGUGGAUGUUUUUUGAAAAGUGAAUCAUGUAAGUAAUUGAAGUCCCAGAAGAAAAGAAAAGAAGAGGAUGAGCAGAAAAAAAUUUCUGAAAAAAUAUCUGAAAGCUUAAACACUAUAAUGAAAGACACACAUUUACAAACUCAAGAAGUUUAGUAAACCAAAAACAAUAAAAUCAAAGAGAACUGUGCCAAGCGACAUCAUUUUCAACCUGCUGAAGAUCUUGACAGCAGUCAGAGAAAAAAGACACACUUAUUACACAGAGAGGAACAAUACAUUAAAUACUAGCACACUUCUCAUCAGAGAUCAUUAAGCCCAGAAGACAGUGGAAUGAGAUCUUUAAAGUGCUGAAAUAAAAUAAAUGUUGAUUAAAAAAUUCUAUAGCU